AUGAACGCUGGCGGCGUGCUUAACACAUGCAAGUCGAACGGAGUUUUAACGGAAGUUUCGGAUGGAAGUUAAGAACUUAGUGGCGGACGGGUGAGUAACGCGUGGGUAACCUGCCUCAUACAGGGGGAUAACAGUUAGAAAUGACUGCUAACACCGCAUAAUAUAGUGAAACCGCAUGAUUUUUGCUAUCAAAUAUUUAUAGGUAUGAGAUGGGCCCGCGUCUGAUUAGCUAGUUGGUGGGGUAAAAGCCUACCAAGGCGACGAUCAGUAGCCGGCUUGAGAGAGUGACCGGCCACAUUGGGACUGAGACACGGCCCAAACUCCUACGGGAGGCAGCAGUGGGGAAUAUUGGACAAUGGGGGAAACCCUGAUCCAGCGAACCGCCGCGUGAGUGAAGAAGUAUUUCGGUAUGUAAAGCUCUAUCAGCAGGGAAGAUAAUGACAGUACCUGACUAAGAAGCCCCGGCUAACUACGUGCCAGCCGCAGC
rnacentral:rRNA from 1 species